AGAACAUCAAUGCCAGGCUUUUGAAAACAUCCGUAGAACCCUUCUCCAGCCCGUGGUGAGCGUGAGGAGGAUGCUGGCACCGACUUCUCGCCCUUUCCCUGCCUUUUAAUACAAGUGUUAGCUCCAUUACAUCUGCUUUCAAAGCUUUGCAGAUGAGAAGAAAAGUCACGCCGAGUGGCCUCUGUGAAACUUUUGUUCUUGUCCUAAGCAGGUCCUUGUCCUGUCACUCUAAAAAGUGCCUUAUAUUGCCUUGUGGCCUUCACUGGUACUGUAUGGCCUGGCCCCCCAACUGCCAAGGCUCUAGGGCUGACUGGCAUACAAAGCCAAUGACAGCAUACCUCAGUACAGCUCCAGGGGAAAGGGACAUGGGUUGACAGUAUGUGUCAUUUGUUAUGACCCUCUUCUCCCUCACACAUAGCGUGAGACCUUGCUUGUUCUCUUUUUUUUUUUUUUUUUUUUUUCUAGUCUCCCAUUGUCUGUACCUUCUGGCUGUGGAAGCUUGUGAGGUAACCCAGCUGCAGACACCCAUGCCUCCUGUCUAAUAAGGGAAGCUUGGGGGUUGGGAAAAAGGUCACCUCUGUGUACCUCUGGCCCUGUGUGGCGAGCCCUGCUCUUCCAGUUUCCUCAUUCCCACCCCAGGUUAGAAACAGCACCCUCUUCCUAUCUGUUUUAGUUCCAUGUAGCCCAGAGUCUGUAUGAGGAAUGUGUUUACUUGUGCUCCCUUGUUCCAAGUCUUAGCUCAUUGGUAACCUGUUUGGCAGUGCCUGUGAUCUGGUAGCUGCAAAGCUCCUGGAUUCCUGUCAGGGUUAUCUUGUGUUCCUAGUACCACACCAAUCCCCUCCCUGACCCUAGCCUGCUUGCCUGCCUGUUCCCGCCUGCCAUUCCGGGUUGUGCAAUAACCCUCCCAGCCGGUGGUCUUGUCCCUUACUGCAUCCAUCCUGCAAUAUCUGGAGAGAGGGGACCCACAGGAGAGGUCGUCAUCAUCCCUUACAGAAGUGUCAGUCCCUUCCUAUUGCUGUCAUUCGCACGGCCCUGCGUGGGUUUCUGUGGCAAUCUUACAGAAUGUGUUGUGACGUCUUCGAGAUCUUUACGUUGUUUUAAAAAAUAAAAUAAAUGUGUUGAAGAAAACAAAAACAAAAGCAUCCUCAGACCGGGACAUUGUCAGUGUCUGGGGAUAAGAUCAGUCUGGAGUCGCUGACAUCACUAUCAUCACCAAAGGCAUUCCAGGGUUUCUUGUUCCUGUGCAAACAAUGGGCCAUGUUUCCAAGAAUCAGCCACAGUGGUGAGCCCUGUCCGCCCCGCUACUGCUCGCCCACCCCCAUGAUGGGGCCUGGCUGUGGUGGUGAGUGCUGCAUUCUUUGGGGUACAGAUUCAUGUGUGAUUAAACCUCACUUUUCAGUUACUCUGUUUAACACACACUUGAAGGAUGAGCGGAGGAGCUGGUGCCCCUGCGCAACUCACAAUGCAAAUGUGGACACUUUGACUGUUUUUCUACAUUAGCCUGUUCAUGUUAUGGACCAAAUUCAACAAGGAACUCAAGGAAAAUGUGUACCUGCCAUAUUUAUGCUUUCUUAUUAAAGGGUUGGGGGAGGGGCGUCUUACUUUUGGUGAAGUCUUUUUUUUUUUUUUUUCCAGAGUCCUUUUUCCACUGUUUCUGUCUGGUUUUAGAAACAAGCUACAGUUUUGUAUGGAUUUUUUAAAUGUACAUUUUGAAACAAAUGAUCAAAUAUUUUCUGAAAUACAUGAAUAAAGGGCACAGAAUUAUUGGUCAU
rnacentral:lncRNA from 1 species